UACGUAGGGAGCAAGCGUUGUCCGGAAUCAUUGGGCGUAAAGCGCGCGUAGGCGGCCCUGUAAGUCCGCUGUGAAAGUCAAAGGCUCAACCUUUGAAAGCCGGUGGAUACUGCAGGGCUAGAGUCCGGAAGAGGCGAGUGGAAUUCCUGGUGUAGCGGUGAAAUGCGCAGAUAUCAGGAAGAACACCCGUGGCUAAGGCGGUUCUCUAGUACGGUACUGACGCUGAGACGCGAAAGCGUGGGGAGCGAACAGG
rnacentral:rRNA from 1 species